CGGCUAACUUCGUNCCAGCAGCCGCGGUAAUACGAAGGUGGCGAGCGUUGUUNGGAAUCACUGGGCGUAAAGAGUUCGUAGGCGGUUUGGUCAGUCAGGUGUGAANUCNUCCGGCUCAACUGGAGAAUUGCGCUUGAUACUGCCAGACUUGAGGGCAGGAGGGGAGAGUGGAAUUCCUGGUGUAGCGGUGAAAUGCGUAGAUAUCAGGAGGAACGCCGGUGGCGAAAGCGACUCUCUGGCCUGCAUCUGACGCUGAGGAACGAAAGCUAGGGGAGCGAACGGGAUUAGAUACCCCGGUAGUCCUAGCCGUAAACGAUGAGCACUACGUUGGGGGGGGUCCGAACCUCUCCCAGCCGAAACUAACGCAUUAAGUGCUCCGCCUGGGGAGUACGGUCGCAAGGCUGAAACUCAAAGUAAUUGACGGGGACUCGCACAAGCGGUGGAGCAUGCGCUUUAAUUCGAUGCGACGCGAAGAACCUUAUCCCGGGCUUGACAUGCUUGGAUUAACCCGGUGAAAGCCGGGCCACGCCCGAAAGGGUGGAACUUGCACAGGUGCUGCAUGGCCGUCGUCAGCUCGUGUCGUGAGAUGUUGGGUUAAGUCCCUUAACGAGCGAAACCCUUGUCCUUAGUUGCCAGCGCGUUAUGGCGGGGACUCUAAGGAGACUGCCGGUGUUAAACCGGAGGAAGGUGGGGAUGACGUCAGGUCCUCAUGGCCUUUAUGCCCGGGGCUAGACGCGUGCUACAAUGGCCGGUACAGAAGGAAGCAAGACCGCGAGGUGGAGCCAAUCCCCAAAGCCGGCCUCAGUUGGGAUCGGGGGCUGAAACUCGCCCCCGUGAACCUGGAAUCGCUAGUAAUCGUGGAUCAGCAUGCCACGGUGAAUGUGUUCCCGAGUCUUGUACUCACCGCCCGUC
rnacentral:rRNA from 1 species